ensembl:snRNA U6 U6 spliceosomal RNA
GCUCGCUUUGGCUGCCAUAAACUAAAACUGGAAUGAUAUAGAGAAGAUUAGCAUGGCCCCUGCACAAGGAUGGCAGGCAAAUUUGUGAAGCGUUCAGCAUUUUU